rnacentral:tRNA from 1 species
GCCGGUGUAGCUCAAUGGUAGAGCAACCCCUUCGUAAGGGGUAGGUUAUCGGUUCAAGUCCGAUUACCGGCU